UACAGAGGUCCCGAGCGUUGUUCGGAUUCAUUGGGCGUAAAGGGUGCGUAGGCGGCGAGGCAAGUCUGAUGUGAAAUCCCGGGGCUCAACCCCGGAACUGCAUUGGAUACUGCCUUGCUAGAGUACUGGAGAGGGAACUGGAAUUUACGGUGUAGCAGUGAAAUGCGUAGAGAUCGUAAGGAAGGCCAGUGGCGAAGGCGAGUUCCUGGACAGUUACUGACGCUGAGGCACGAAGGCCAGGGGAGCAAACGGG
rnacentral:rRNA from 1 species